ACUGACAUAGGUCAGCACCAGGGUCUCCAGACCUACGAAUAAGGAACAAAUGAUGACGUUUAUUGUAGGUGGGAUGAGUAAAGAUUCUAUUCUGUGUGAUCCUGACCAUGUCUAUUACCAACCGUUUGCCUUAACAGCAUCCAUGUCCUCAGCAUCACCUGGAAACUUGCUAAAAAUGCAGACUCUCAGCCUCUGCCCCAGUUCAACUAAAUUAGACCGUCCUCUUUGGCAAGAUCCUCAGGCGUCUUAACAGCGAGAGGGAAGACUGGGAAGAGGACUCACGUGGUCCGUUGACCUUGAUGCCUCCUGACAGAGUCUUAGUUUUGGAAUUGCUAAAGAUGUAGGCGCAGAAGAGUGCAGCUUGGUCCACGAAUUCAGAGUCUAGCUCAACAUCACGCAGUUCUUCAAGCCGGCUAAGCUGCUUCCUCUGAGUGGGUCGAUCAAAGAUAAAGCAUUUC